CCUCAUUAUGACAUCACACUGAGCACUCAGUCCUUGUGUACUGUUCAUGUCAUCAGUCUGGCAGCCGGUAGUGUCUGUGAAGCCCAUCCCCCCUGCUGGGGAAUCAUCUCUCAGAGAACAAUGGCUGCUUGUAAAGAUUUCAAUUUUGAGGAUUCUAACCUCAAUUUCUCAAUAUAGAUGUAUCCAUGUCUUCUCAAGAUCCACAUCUACUGAUCUAUCUCCACAGCCUUUAUUAAUUUGUAUAAUGGAGCUGACACUAUGGGAACUGAUACAACCUUGAUCGACCUUGACUAGCGUUGAUUUUUAACAAAGAAGUAAAUAUUAUGUUUUAAAACAGACCUUAAACGGGAACUUAUUAGCUUCUGGCUAUUUGAACUGUAAUAUUGAAAUCCCGUGUCCAAAAGGGUCCCUGAAGGGAAAUUCUAUAAACUACACCCC